CGCCAAGCCCCGCCUGCCGUAGGUUUCCAAUUGGUCCUGUUUUCGGAAACUCAGGAGCGAGCCGAGGCCGGGAGGUCCUUAGGUUGGUGUGUGUCUGCGCUGCAAGCGCUCUCUAGAGCUGGCCUGGGGCGAGUAGAGCUUCCAGAUACUUUUGCCGUCAUAUGAAGUUGAACAUGGCAGAAGAGGAGGACUAUAUGUCUGAUUCCUUCAUUAAUGUCCAAGAAGACAUCAGACCAGGCUUGCCAAUGCUGAGGCAGAUCCGGGAAGCCCGUCGAAAAGAAGAAAAGAGACAGGAAGCGAAUCUGAAAAACAGACAAAAGAGUAUAAAAGAAGAAGAACAAGAGAGACGUGACAUGGGGUUGAAGAACGCACUCGGCUGCGAAAACAAAGGGUUUGCUUUGCUUCAGAAAAUGGGGUAUAAAAGCGGUCAGGCCCUUGGCAAGAGCGGAGAUGGUAUUGUUGAACCAAUUCCUCUCAAUGUCAAAACAGGGAAAAGUGGCAUUGGUCAUGAGACAUUAUUAAAACGGAAAGCAGAGGAAAAAUUGGAAAGCUACAGAAGAAAGAUUCACAUGAAAAGCCAAGCUGAAGAAAGAGCAGCAGAACAGUUUCGAAUUCGACUUAAAAAUAAGCAAGACGAAAUGAAGCUAGAAGGAGAUCUUAGAAGAAGUCAGAGAGCCUGUCAACAAUUGGAUACUCAGAAGAAUAUUCAAGUUCCCAGGGAGGCAUGGUACUGGUUGAGACCUGAAGAGGAAACUGAAGAAGAGACAGAGGAAGAAAAAGAACAAGAUGAAGAUGAAUAUAAGAGUGAAGAUUUAAGUGUAUGGUACUGGAAAAAUUACAAAUACUGACUAGUUAUUUAAGAGAAGAACAUCUGUAUUGUAUUUGGUGUGGAACAGCCUAUGAAGAUAACGAAGACCUGUCUUCAAAUUGUCCGGGACCAACUUCUGCAGAUCAUGACUAAGAUUAUUCUCAAUAAAGUGGAAGCUUGGCACAUGUUCUUGUUUCCUAAAGACAGAUAGUUGGGCAGUUAGAAUUCCCAAAUUUGGAUGCCAGUAAAGAAAGGGGACUUCAUAUGUUUUGUUCUUUUUGUACAUUAGAAGUACUUUGUACUUUAGAAUAUAAUUGGUUACUAACUUCAACAUAUAAUGGAAAGCCAUUGCAGAGCACAAGUAUUAUAGACACCAGCAAUUACAGUUCAUGACUCUAUCAUGACGUUUAUGGGGUUUAAGGACACCAGCUCUCUUAUUCCCUUCUUCACUUUGGAACAAAUUGAGAAAUAAGACAUGGGAGUUUGAGAUCAAAAUAUCAAUUUUAUUACUAAUGGAAUGAAGAGCUACUUGACUUGUUCUCCAGCCACACUCCCUGUGAGAUCUCCCUGCUUAGAGAGAACUGCAGACCUUGCCUCAGAGGAAGAAUAGAGCCCAUCUCAGCUGUCAAGGUGAGAGAGCCAGCCCUCGGGGCAGAGGAGAGGCAUGCAUCCUCAGUUCCUUUUCCCAAAACCACGCAUCAGGAGAGAUACAGCUCUGUUGAGAAGGAACGAAUACAGGCUCGCAGAACUUCUUCCCACAAUUCUGCCUUCCAGGGAGCAAGAAGAGGUUCCCUUCCCUGCAUUCAAGCAUGAGGAGGAGGUGAAAAGUAUUCCCCUCAAUGAGAGUGUCAGAGGCAAGGUUCCAUUAGUAGUACUUAAUUCUAAUGAGUUUUAGAGACAGAGUAAUUAUGAUAUUCCAUAAAGUCAUGAGUUUUCAUGGCAACGUGUGUAUCUAUUGCAAGUUUUGGCUAAAGAAACAAUAGUUGGGAGUAACCUGAAACAUCAGGUGAUCCAAAUUCUUAGUCGUUUGACAACAUUCCCAGCAGGUGGUAAUCCUGCCGCUACCUUGAUUUGUCCAGCCGCAGACAGCUCAUUGCCUUAGAAGAGCUGGGUAGCACUAAGUCAUUUUUAAAGUUAUUUUUCUGUCUUAAGCUGAAUUCUGCUUCCCUAUAACUUAACCAAAUACAGCUAAAGACAUACCAUGUGGCAUAUUCCUAGAGAGGUCCGUGUAAGUUUGGGCAUCAAAAUCAUGAACUUUUUUUAAAGUUCCCACACUCAGGAACUACCCUUAGUGACUUGACUCAGCUAGUCUAGGAUUGUUUCUAGGUAUCUAUUUAUUUUAAAGUUCUGAGUCUGAUUAUCACCUGUGGAUAAGAACUAGUGCUCUAGGUUAAACCAGAGCACAACUGUUCUUUGGAUCAAGUUGUGACCUUACCUGUAUAGUUUUAUAGCACACCUUUCUGAAGCACUGAGCAAGAGAUCAGCCUCUUAUUAUAAACAGCAUACUUGAGAACAUAGCAGAAGCUAACCUACACUUACCCAAGUUAUCAAUAGUAUGAGUUGUAUUAACCUCUGACCAAAUAUGACCUAAUUCACUUGUCCUCAAGUUUAACUUGGAGAGCUUUAAAAAAAUGAUAAUACAAAGAUUAUCAUACUUCCAGAGAGUCUAUAUAAUUGAUCAUUCUGGCCUGAGCACCACUAUCCUUGAUACCAACAUGCAGUAGAGUUUGAAAACCUAGUCAAUGUCUGGGCCUCAGUUCUUCAUCUAGAAACUGAAUUAUGAUUUUUAUGAGUAUAAAUACAUAUGUAAAACACUGGACAUAUAGUUGGACAAUACUGUUUUGAUAUGUACCUUUUUCAUGUAAAAAAUAGUAACAUUGUAUUAACAGAUAAAACAUGAGUGCAUCUUCUUCUUGCAGUUAUAAUCACAUGCUUGCCUGUCAUGUUAGCCAUCAUAAUGACAUUCGUUCUGUCAGACCCAAAGCCAUGUGGAUUCUUUCAGACAGAAUGGAGUUAGGAACUGGAUUUUUUCUCCUUGCACUAUGGAGCUACCUGCCCGGUGGCCUAGAGUAUUUUAAAUAUGUUCGUGAGUAUAUUCAUUAACAUAAGAAUAGGAAUAACCGUGACAGCACCCAUGAGUCCACCAGAGUUGGGGUCUGCAUCUCCAGGCCAGAGCCCAGCACUCAGCCUGCCUUGGAGAGUGGGAGACAUCCCUCCAUUACCACCACCAAUGAAAACUACAGAUUUUCAGUAUGAGUAAAAGCUUACUUUUAUUCAUAAACGCCUUUUACAACUUCAUAACCAGACAAUAAUGGAAACCAAGGGGUGCAAAAUACUAAAAAGAAUUUUUAAACUUGCUUUAGAACAUAAGUGACAUUUGAAACAUAAAUUUUAACAGGUCAGGUUGUCAUUUACUUUUGACCAUAUUAUGUUAAUACUAUGUUUAUUGUCAAAGUCCUAUCUAGAAUUUCUAAAAUGUUUGAUUUUCCUCAUUAUCAACUCAAAAUACUGAAGCUUCUAAAAUUCAAAAUAAAGAGAUUUUAAUACUGGUUUACCUACCCACUUCCAAGUGUUAUAUACCAACAUUUAAUUGUUGAAAUUUUACAAUGAACAAUUAUUUCAUAUCAGACACAUUUUGUAGGAUCAGGCAUAUAAAAUUCUUGGCAGUUUUAUUCCCUACUAAUUCAAAAGCACUUAGAGAGUUCCUGCUUUAUGCAGGGUAAUACACUUGCUUCCUUAAGGUAAAUCAACUGUCCCUGCUUUCCAGAAAUUUACAAGGAGGAGGACACCCACACAGGAAUAACUUGAGUGCCAAGGCAAACUGAUAAGUACCAUACUGAAGUACUAAGCACUAGGAGUACUAGGGAGAGGUUUCAUUCUGUAUGGGAGAUGGUAAAACACUAUGGUAGCAACACUGAAUUUGGGCUCUGAACAUCAUUUUCAUAUCCAAAGUCACUAGGAAGGAGUUACAGUAAGACCCGUGUUUCUACUCCCAGGUAUAUACCCAGGAGAAAUGGAAACAUAUGUUCACAUAAAACUUGGACACGAAUAUUCAUAGCAGUAUUCAUAAUAGCCAGAAAACAGAAACCCAAAUGUCCAUCAGCUGAUGAAUAGGUAAAUUUAAUGUAUCCAUGUAGUUGAAUAUUAUUUGGCAACAGAAGGGAAAGGAAUUUCCACCCAAGCUAUAUCAUAGAUGACACUUGAAAACAUUAAGUGAAAAUGAUCACAUGUUGUAUGAUUGUGUUGUAUGAUUCCACUUAAAUGAAAUGUCCCAAGCAGGCAAGUCUAUGGAGACUGAACGUGGAGGAGUGGUUGCAGAGAAUUAGGGGAAGAUGAGGAAAGCCUGCUAACAAGUACUGGGUUUCUUUCUGGGGAGACGAAAGUGUUUUGAAAUCGAUUGUGGUGAUGGCUGCAUGACUCUGAACAUACUAACCACUGUAUACUUUAAAUUGUAUACUUUAAAUGGGGUGAAUUUUAGAGUAUGUGAAAUUAUGUCUCAAUAAAGCUGUUAUUUUACAAAAAAAAAGAAAAAGAUUGAAGGGAAUUUUAGGUGGAAACCAUAGCUAAGAGCCAUUGAGCACAAAAGCCUAUUUAGGUGACCCUGAGCAGACCUGUGUGGCUGGGACUUAAUCAGGUAACGCUGAACAUGGGAUGCAAAACGGGAGCGCCCAGAGGAGCACAGCCCUGCCAACACUUUGACUUGAGCCCAGUGAAACUCUGGCCUCCCGAACUGUAAGAAAAUAAAUGUGUGUUGUUUUCAGCCGCCAA